rnacentral:sRNA from 1 species
AGAACCUAAAACAGUGGAAGAAGAAGAAAGUAAUUUCAGCUCCCCACUGAUGCUUUGGCUUCAGCAAGAACAAAAGCGGAAGGAAAGCAUUACUGAGAAAAAACCCAAGAAAGGACUUGUUUUUGAAAUUUCCAGUGAUGAUGGCUUUCAGAUCUGUGCAGAAAGUAUUGAAGAUGCCUGGAAGUCAUUGACAGAUAAAGUCCAGGAAGCUCGAUCAAAUGCCCGCCUAAAGCAGCUCUCAUUUGCAGGUAAUGGCUGGAGGUGUUAUUCCACUCCUGUCUCAGAAUAUUAUGGUAAAUUGUUCGCCUAAGGCAGAGUUGAUUCUGUGAAAAAAAAAUCAGUUAAAAAUUUUUUUCACAGCUUUAUUGAGAUUUAAUUCAUAUACCAUACAGUUCACCCAUCUAAAGCAUACAAUUCAGUGGUUUUUAAUAUAUUCAGAGUUGUAUAACCACCACUACUCUAUAAUUCUAUAACAUUCUCGUCAUCCCUAAAAGAAACCCCCUAUUCAUUAGCAGUCAUUCCUCAGCCCCUGGCUACCACAAAUCUACUUUCUGUCUCUAUGUAUUUGAUUAUUCUGGACAUUUCAUAUAAAUGAAAUCAGACAA